ACAAUAAACUACCAAUUGUUCGCCAAAUAACUACGAGUAAAAACUUAAAAUUUAAAAGACUUGACGGUACCCCACAACACCCUAGAGGAGCCUGUUCAAUAACCGAUACUCCACGAUUAAUCCAACCCCCCCUAGCCUAACAGUCUAUAUACCGCCGUCGCCAGCCUACCUUAUGAAAGCAACAAAGUAAGCUAAAUAGUCCAACACUAGCACGACAGGUCGAGGUGUAACUCAUGAGGGGGCCCAGAAUGGGCUACAUUUUCUAACUUAGACAAUACGAACAAACCAUGAAACAGAAACUGAAGGCGGAUUUAGCAGUAUACUACGAACAAAAUACCUAGUUGAAGUCAACGCAAUGGGGUGCGUACACACCGCCCGUCAUC
rnacentral:rRNA from 1 species